CGUGCAGGCGGGAUGUCAGGUGUUGUGUGAAAGCCCCGGGCUCAACUCGGGAAUGGCACAGCAAACCGGCAUUCUUGAGGCGGGUAGAGGUGACUGGAACGACUGGUGGAGCGGUGAAAUGCGUAGAUAUCAGUUGGAACGCCAGAGGCGAAAGCGAGUCGCUGGACCCGUCCUGACGCUGAGACGCGAAAGCGUGGGUAGCGAACAGGAUUAGAUACCCUGGUAGUCC
rnacentral:rRNA from 1 species